rnacentral:rRNA from 1 species
UACGGGGGGAGCAAGCGUUGUUCGGAUUUACAGGGCGUAAAGGGCGGGUAGGCGGCCACCGCAAGUCAGUUGUGAAAUCUCCGGGCUUAACCCGGAAAGGUCAACUGAUACUGCGGGGCUAGAGUGCAGAAGGGGCAACUGGAAUUCUCGGUGUAGCGGUGAAAUGCGUAGAUAUCGAGAGGAACACCUGCGGCGAAGGCGGGUUGCUGGGCUGACACUGACGCUGAACUGCGAAAGCUAGGGGAGCGAACGGG